AGCCUCCCACCUUUCAAAUAGAUAGAGCCACACACCCUUCAUCUUUGUUUAUAUCUUUUAUCACAUAGACCCAGUUGCAUUUUAUUAAUUACAAAUCUCCUUCAAGUUGCCUUUGUGCUUCCCACAUAAACGAUUUUCACUCUUUUGGUUUCCCAAAAAGGAGGGGAAAAUAUCAGUGGGAAAUGAUUCCGCUUAGGAGACUUGAGCUCUUGGCUUUGUUCUUCAUUGUUGUUGCCAUUUUUCAAUACCCGAGAGCCAUGGAGGCCAGGCCUGCAUCAUUCCAAAGGUAUUCAAAGGUGUUUAAUACACUGGGAGUGGUGUGCAAGUGUUGUGAUGGUGAGGGAGGUGAAUGCCGAAGCACAUGGGAGGGGUCUUGCCCUAAGCUUCAGUGUCUUCCAUGGAAAUAUCACUGAUGCAUGAAUUUUUUUUAUAUUUAUGGCUUUAUAAUAAUAAUAAUAAUAAUCUGUGUUAUGUGAACAAUAAUUCUGCUGUGUGCAGUACAUAUAUAUUGAUUUAGCUUUACUUUUGAUGAUCCCAUUUGCAUUCAGUUCAUUGAGAAGUUGUGUAAGGAAACCGAAAUUGGAGUAGUUUAUUUUUCUCAAUCUACUGUUACUAGCUAUGGUGCUCUAGAAGAUUCUAGACCACAUAGAAAACCUUUGGUGAAUACAACAUCAAUUGGGUCAAAAAAUGUAAUAAUCAAUGCUAUAUUAUUAUUGAAUGGUGAGUUUUCUUUUAUUA